rnacentral:rRNA from 1 species
UACAGAGGUGGCAAGCGUUGUUCGGAAUUACUGGGCGUAAAGGGCGCGUAGGCGGUUCGUUAAGUCAGAUGUGAAAGCCCCGGGCUCAACCUGGGAACUGCAUUUGAAACUGGCGGGCUUGAGUGUGGCAGAGGGGGGUGGAAUUCCGCGUGUAGCAGUGAAAUGCGUAGAGAUGCGGAGGAACACCGAUGGCGAAGGCAGCCCCCUGGGCCAACACUGACGCUCAGGCGCGAAAGCGUGGGGAGCAAACAGG